rnacentral:rRNA from 1 species
AUGGAAUUUCACAUCAAUUACAUAUCAGCAGCACUCUUUAUGUCAGAAGAUUUCAAUGCUAAUUUAUCAAAAGACAAAGUGUUAAAAGAAUACAACAAAAGGCACAUUGGAAUUGGGAAAGAAAUAGAUGGUAGAGGAAGGAAACGAUUGGAGAAUGUAUUUGGUAUUCUUCAAACAGAAGGGGCUGUAUCUGAGUCAAAUAAUAAGGUAUUAUGCAGAAUUUCUGUGGAUUUUAUUCUUAAUCUUAAAGUCAUAUUGCAAUAUUUGUUGAACUGUACUCUGGAUAUUUCAGUGGCAAACAGGGUUACACGGUUUUUCUAUCAUUGA